UACGUAGGGUGCAAGCGUUGUCCGGAAUUAUUGGGCGUAAAGAGCUCGUAGGCGGUCAGUCGCGUCUGCUGUGAAAACUCGGGGCUUAACUCCGGGCCUGCAGUGGGUACGGGCUGACUAGAGUGCGGUAGGGGAGACUGGAAUUCCUGGUGUAGCGGUGAAAUGCGCAGAUAUCAGGAGGAACACCGGUGGCGAAGGCGGCUACCUGGACAGAAACUGACGCUGAGGCGCGAAAGCGAGGGGAGCAAACAGG
rnacentral:rRNA from 1 species